AGUGGCUGGCGCCUUCUGCCUCCCUCCCUGGGCCUCAGGUGUAAACCGCUGUGUCGGGGGGAAGCAGGUUUCACUAGAGCGAGCGAGAAGACAAGGUUUGUGGUUUGAAAAUAUUGGAAUUUCACAGGCACACGAGUAUGUGCACUCAAAGACUUCUGAGAUCAGGCCUGAACUGCAGUAAGCAGAAUGUGCUGCAGAAACUGGUGAAAACAUUUCAUGAAAGUUGAUGCUGUGACUGGGGCCCAGGUUUAACCUGAAGAUUGAAUUUAUGCAGAAGCUGAGAAGGUUCUGAAUGAUUUUGGAAGCAGAAGAGUUAUCACGUUGAGCAAAAAUGUUCUCUAUGUCCAAGCUGGAGCUCCCUGUCUUUGUGUGUGGUGGGCCAUGGCCAAAUGAACAUCUUCUCUGAUUAGUUCUUAUGAAGAAUGGAGCUGCAGCAACAGAAAACAGAGAUGGGAGAAAGAAAACCUUUCAACGUAAUGAAGUGCUUAGACUGUUCCCCAAAAUUAAGCUGCAUAUGAG